CAAAUGCGCGUCUCCAUGAGACUGGAGAGAAAGAAAGAAAGAAAAAAAGCAAAAUAAUUUGAAAAUAAACAACUGUUUUGCAGUUGAACACGGUAACAGUAACCAUGGCAACGCGGUAAACACGAAAGUUUUUAACAGAGACAGCUGAUGCGACGACACCCACCGUUGACGACUGGUCAUGGACGCGCUUUCAAACUACUUGAAGAAUGUGAUUCUUCCUCUGGUGAAGGGAGAGGACCACAUCUGCCGCUGCCUCUGUGCGAGAGAGCAAGCCUAUCACGUUGUUCCAUAUCACGAAGCCUCCGUCGAGGUUUACUCCUCCCAAAACGUCACUGACGUGAUUCCUGUGAUGGCUGGACUGGUUGCCGUCGGUGUCUUCAUCUUCUGGUUCUU